rnacentral:rRNA from 1 species
AUUGAACGCUGGCGGAAUGCCUUACACAUGCAAGUCGAACGGCAGCACGGGAGCAAUCCUGGUGGCGAGUGGCGAACGGGUGAGUAAUACAUCGGAACGUGCCCAAUCGUGGGGGAUAACGUAGCGAAAGCUACGCUAAUACCGCAUACGAUCUACGGAUGAAAGCAGGGGAUCGCAAGACCUUGCGCGAAUGGAGCGGCCGAUGGCAGAUUAGGAGUUGGUGAGGUAAAGGCUCACCAAGCCUUCGAUCUGUAGCUGGUCUGAGAGGACGACCAGCCACACUGGGACUGAGACACGGCCCAGACUCCUACGGGAGGCAGCAGUGGGGAAUUUUGGACAAUGGGCGCAAGCCUGAUCCAGCCAUUCCGCGUGCAGGAUGAAGGCC